UCAAAACAUACUGAAAGAAAAUGAUGUCAUAUUUUCAAUCUGAGUCACGUGAGAAGAAGUUUGGGAGAAGUGCUUGGAGAGCUUCGUCCGUUUCGGCAUCUGGAAGAAAGAAUGAUUAACGUCCCAGCACGUCAUCAAAGAAUAAACCUGCACUGCUGAAGAUCUUCAGAAAGAAAGGAGGGACCACUAAAGCAAGAACUGCCACGAUCCUUGAGUUUCUUGACCAGGGUGCUGAUGCAGAUUUCAGAAGGGAGUGUAUCCUCAAAGCUCUCAUCAUCUACCUGGGAGAACGUGUUGAGGACCUUAUAAAGGAAUACAUGGUCUCCCAGAAAGAUCAAGCCGAGCAGGAGCUGGAGAGGACCAUCAUGGCAGUCUUCGUCUUCAGAGAGAAUUCAAGCCUUCUACAGCAGCCCCAAGACGUUAGGAUUGUCAUUGAUGGUGUGGAAGUCCUCAAUGAGUUGCCUUCUCUUGCAGCCGGAGUGGCAAUGCUCUUUGGACUUUGCUAUGCUCUUAACAUGGAGUAUCCACAGGGUUUCAGGUUCACCUUUGAGGCCCUUCAGAAGAUCCUGAUGGAGCUUGGUUCCAACAAGAUGACUUCCAAGAUUCGCAAACUCAGUGG